UAAAUGCGAUAAUUAAUGUGAAUUGCAGAAUUCAGUGAAUCAUCGAGUCUUUGAACGCACAUUGCGCCCCCUGGUAUUCCGGGGGGCAUGCCUGUCCGAGCGUCAUUGCUGCCCUCAAGCACGGCUUGUGUGUUGGGCUUCCGUCCCUGGCAACGGGGACGGGCCCAAAAGGCAGUGGCGGCACCAUGUCUGGUCCUCGAGCGUAUGGGGCUUUGUCACCCGCUCCCGUAGGUCCAGCUGGCAGCUAGCCUCGCAACCAAUCUUUUUAACCAGGUUGACCUCGGAUCAGGUAGGGAUACCCGCUGAACUUAAGC
rnacentral:misc_RNA from 1 species